rnacentral:rRNA from 1 species
UACGUAGGGAGCAAGCGUUGUUCGGAUUUACUGGGCGUAAAGGGCGCGUAGGCGGCAUAUUAAGUCAUCUGUGAAAUCUCCGAGCUUAACUCGGAACUGUCAGCUGAUACUGAUGUGCUAGAGUGCGGAAGGGGCAAUCGGAAUUCUUGGUGUAGCGGUGAAAUGCGUAGAUAUCAAGAGGAACCCCUGAGGUGAAGGCGGGUUGCUGGGCUGACCCUGACGCUGAAGCGCGAAAGCUAGGGGAGCGAACGGG